rnacentral:rRNA from 1 species
GAUGAACGCUAGCGGCAGGCCUAACACAUGCAAGUCGAGGGGCAGCACAGAAACAGCAAUGUUUUGGUGGCGACCGGCGGACGGGUGCGUAACGCGUAUGCAACCUACCUUUAACAGGGGGAUAACGGAGAGAAAUUUCCACUAAUACCCCAUAACAUCGAUCAAGGCAUCUUGAUUGGUUGAAAACUCCGGUGGUUAAAGAUGGGCAUGCGUUGUAUUAGGUAGUUGGUGAGGUAAUGGCUCACCAAGCCUACGAUACAUAGGGGGACUGAGAGUUGAGCCCCCCACACGGGUACUGUGACAGGGACCAGCCCCCUGCGGGAGGCAGCAGUGGGGAAUAUUGGUCAAUGGGGGAAACCCUGAACCAGCCAUGCCGCGUGCAGGAAGACGGCUCUAUGAGUUGUAAACUUUUUUUAAACAGGGAUAAAGCACAGUAUGUAUACUGUGUUGAAGGUACUGUAAGAAUAAGGAUCGGCUAGCUCCGUGCCAGCCGCCGCCGUAA